GACGAACGCUGGCGGCGUGCUUAACACAUGCAAGUCGAACGGAAAGGCCCUGCUUGCAGGGUACUCGAGUGGCGAACGGGUGAGUAACACGUGGGUGAUCUGCCCUGCACUUCGGGAUAAGCCUGGGAAACUGGGUCUAAUACCGGAUAGGAGCCAUUUUUAGUGUGAUGGUUGGAAAGUUUUUUCGGUGUAGGAUGAGCUCGCGGCCUAUCAGCUUGUUGGUGGGGUAAUGGCCUACCAAGGCGGCGACGGGUAGCCGGCCUGAGAGGGUGGACGGCCACAUUGGGACUGAGGUACGGCCCAGACUCCUACGGGAGGCAGCAGUGGGGAAUAUUGCACAAUGGGCGCAAGCCUGAUGCAGCGACGCCGCGUGGGGGAUGACGGCCUUCGGGUUGUAAACUCCUUUCGCUAGGGACGAAGCUUUUUGUGACGGUACCUAGAUAAGAAGCACCGGCUAACUACGUG
rnacentral:rRNA from 1 species